ensembl:scaRNA
UGGCUCUGUUUCCUGGGAGGUGGACUCAGCUCUCUCUACCUCCCCUCAACUGAGCCUACAGAACAGGGGCUGGCUCUCUGGUGUGGGAGAGGUAUUUAAGAAAGGAGCCUCACCCGGGCUGUCUCAGCCUCACAUUU